GCUGGCGGCGUGCUUAACACAUGCAAGUCGCACGAGUAAAGCUUCUGCUUGCAGAGGCGAGUAAAGUGGCGCACGGGUGAGUAACACGUGGGUAAUCUACCUCCGAAUUUGGGAUAACGUUGCGAAAGCGACGCUAAUACCGGAUGAUAUCCAAAGAUUUUCGGAUUUUUGGAUCAAAGGUGGCCUCUUCAUGAAAGCUACUGUUUGGAGAUGAGCCCGCGUCCCAUUAGCUUGUUGGUAGGGUAACGGCCUACCAAGGCAACGAUGGGUAGCUGGUCUGAGAGGAUGAUCAGCCACACUGGAACUGACACACGGUCCAGACUCCUACGGGAGGCAGCAGUGAGGAAUUUUGCGCAAUGGGGGAAACCCUGACGCAGCAACGCCGCGUGAGUGAUGAAGGUCUUCGGGUCGUAAAGCUCUGUCAAGUGGGAAGAACCUACAAAGUGCCAAUACCACUUUGUACUGACGGUACCACUAAAGGAAGCACCGGCUAACUCCGUGCCAGCAGCCGCGGUAAUACGGGGGGUGCAAGCGUUACUCGGAAUCAUUGGGCGUAAAGGGCGCGCAGGCGGCCAGGUCAGUCAGAUGUGAAAGCCC
rnacentral:rRNA from 1 species